rnacentral:rRNA from 1 species
CAAUAGCGUAUAUUAAAGUUGUUGCAGUUAAAAAGCUCGUAGUUGAAUUUCUGUCAGGAGCGACCGGGCCUUUGGAUGAACUUCCAUUGUUUUUGCUCUGUUUGUCGUCUCUAGACAUCCAGAAAUAUUUUUACAAAUAUUUCUCUUUUACUGUUAGCAAAAUAGAGUGUUCCAAGCAAAGCGUAGUUUUGAAUACAUUAGAAUGGAAUAAUAAGAUAGGACUUUGGUGCUAUUUUGUUGGUUUGCACACCAAGGUAAUGAUUAAUAGGGACAGUUGGGGGUAUUCGUAUUUAAUUGUCAGAGGUGAAAUUCUUGGAUUUAUGAAAGACGAACUACUGCGAAAGCAUUUACCAAGGAUGUUUUCAUUAA